AAAGAUUGAUACGCGAGAAUAGAUGUUACACGCAAUUCUCUCUUUCUUUCCCUGUUCAUAGACCCUUAUCUUUCACAGGGAGAAAGAGACUUGUCUUAUGUCUUUUUGAUGUAAAUACUUCUUCGAUCGAAAGAUCGAUUUGUUUUUGUUCGCUUAGGCGAUUGUGUUUUCUGAUUAGCGGAUUUAGUCUUCGUUUUGACGAUUUUUUUUAUGUGUUCUUUUCAACCAAAACAGAACUUUUUUCAUGAUUCUCAUUUUAUCUCGGUUUCCCUGGUUGAGUAUAGUAAACUCCGCUCUUGAUAGGAUUUUUAGUGUCCUAGCUUUACUUUUUGCAUGUUCUUAAAGAUUUAUUUCGAAGAUUCGAGGUUUUGUUUUGUUAGAUUUGCUUGAUUUUGUUCUUAAACCAGUGUAAUAUUUCAUCUUUCCGAUGUUAAUCUCGGAGUUUAGGGUGUAAGUUUCUCUUUAAAAUGGAAUUGAAUUGAAGAGAUUUCGUAGUGGCUUUAGGCUAGAAAAGUAGUGUCGGGGCCUUUCGAAGAUGUCUUGAUAAUUUAUGGCUCUAAGACUAUCUCCAUCGGUAGGUUGUUGACGGUCUCUUAACAUUUUAAAAAAAAUAGAAAAGAAAAGAAAAUAAGAAAGAGGAAGGCAAAAGGUUCUUUGCUGGGGCAUUUUAACAUCCGGUUCUAACAUUCAAGGAGCAGGUGGGAAUAUAUAAGUGGUUUAAAUUUCUUAAAAGCAUUAAAUUUUAGUUGUACAAUUUCAGUUACUUAGGGCAUCAUUAUCAGUGAGACAAUUUUUUGUCUUUAGAAUCUAUUUAUAUAAAAUAGAGUUUACUCCCUCCUGGUUGAGACACCUCAGCAUCCAGCCUAGAAACUCGCGCGUCCUGAAGCCGACACGUGUCGAAGGCGGACGAAACUCAGCGUUUCAUUUAACGCGUAACGUGAUGGGCUUCCUUUGUGCAUUUCGGAUUUGGGCUCUGAGUCUGGUGUCUGCGUCCGGCCCGAGUAGAGACUGAAACUGGCGGAGAUGUAGCUUCGCGUUUAUUCCAAUUAAUUCCAUCACCCACUAAGAGUCUUCAAUGCGUCGUUCCUAACUCAGGCGGUGUGAAAUUUGUAUAAAUAUUCAACUAUAAUGCAAACCACCAUCAAUGCACAUCGGCUUCAGAAAUUCCGACCAAGACUUGCUGCCGGGUCGAUUUAUUCGAUCUCUGCAUUUGACGUGGCUCGGUGUGCUCAGAACUUCAAGCUUACCGAUUCCUCUUUACUGAUCGUGUCAUGGCUACAAUCAAACUGGGAAAAGUAAUAGUUAUUAUGUUUUUUUCUUCCUCUUUAACCUCUUUGCGAAUGAAUACAUAUUGUUUUCAUAUUUGAGCUAAUUAGUUAUUGUGACUGCAAUAAUUUCUGCUGCAACCCUGCAGUGAUGUCUCUGUUACACUGAACCUAUUAGACUCUCAAGCUGUUUUCGUUCCAUAAAAGCUUGAAGGCUUGCGUGAUGAUCCAAAGGUGAUAGUUGCCACAAACAUAAAUCCGAAGACGGUUGGAGUAUGUUGCGCAGGUCGUUUGUUUCUCAACGCAACGUCUGGUACUCAUAUUUACUUGGAUAAGUAAACAGCUGCAGGGGAAUCUUGCUUCUACAAGACACUGGUCUUCCAUCUGCAGCACCACUGCUAAGGGGAUAUGCAAAGGUUGAGCCUGUGACAAUUCCUGAGCUCAAUGAUUUUAUAUCCACUGCCCUGUCACAGUAAAUUGACUUCGUCUACACUGGGAGGGUCUCUCGCGUUGACACUGACAAGGAGUUGUGUUAUGUUGCAUGCUCUAAGUGCAGUAGGAAGUUGCAGCGCUCUGUCUCUGCAUUAGAAUGUGUACGAUGCAACAAUUUUAUGCUGUCGGAGCUCUACGGCUUGCGUACACUUUCAAAGUCAGAUUCACUUCAUAUAAGUUCACCGCCCAUCAUCAGACUUUCACCGUGCAUCAUCAAUGAGAUUGACCAUGCGCCAGCCCCCGACUUCGUCGAGAAUGUGGGUGAUGGCAAUGAUGUUGACGAUGCCCCGGAUGGCAGGCCAAGUCAUGGAAAACUUACAUCCAGCAGUGGCGGUUGUGAGGCAUCUAAGAGUGCUGGAAAAAGCCAGUUGGUGAUGCGCAUAAGACGACUGACACGACUUCCAAGGUGGUCAAGAAGGCCCGUGUUGCUUGAGAUGGAGUCCCAACAAUUACGUUUUCAUGCUCUGGAUUUUAAUAAUGCAUAUGCUUUUUUAUUUACUUUCGCAACUUACCUAUCUAUGUUUUUGAUUUUUCCUUUCUGUUUUUUCCUCUGAAUGAUCUGAGAUGGUUUCAGCAGCCUCCUUAGAUACAGUUCUUUAAUGUUGGUGAUUUCCGUAUUAUAUGUCCUUGACUAUCAGUCAAAUUCGUAUUUUAAGUAUUUUUAUUUUCUA